AGAGUUUGAUCCUGGCUCAGGACGAACGCUGGCGGCGNNNUUAACACAUGCAAGUCGAGCGCUGAAGCCCUUCGGGGUGGAUGAGCGGCGAACGGGUGAGUAACACGUGGGUAAUCUGCCCUGCACUCUGGGAUAAGCCUGGGAAACUGGGUCUAAUACCGGAUAUGACCGAUUCUCGCAUGGGGGUUGGUGGAAAGUUCCGGCGGUGCAGGAUGAACCCGCGGCCUAUCAGCUUGUUGGUGGGGUAAUGGCCUACCAAGGCGACGACGGGUAGCCGGCCUGAGAGGGCGACCGGCCACACUGGGACUGAGACACGGCCCAGACUCCUACGGGAGGCAGCAGUGGGAAAUAUUGCACAAUGGGCGAAAGCCUGAUGCAGCGACGCCGCGUGAGGGAUGACGGCCUUCGGGUUGUAAACCUCUUUCAGCAGGGACGAAGCGCAAGUGACGGUACCUGCAGAAGAAGCACCGGCUAACUACGUGCCAGCAGCCGCGGUAAUACGUAGGGUGCGAGCGUUGUCCGGAAUUAUUGGGCGUAAAGAGCUCGUAGGCGGUUUGUUGCGUCGGCCGUGAAAACCUGGGGCUUAACCCUGGGCCUGCGGUCGAUACGGGCAGACUUGAGUUCGGUAGGGGAGACUGGAAUUCCUGGUGUAGCGGUGAAAUGCGCAGAUAUCAGGAGGAACACCGGUGGCGAAGGCGGGUCUCUGGGCCGAUACUGACGCUGAGGAGCGAAAGCGUGGGGAGCGAACAGGAUUAGAUACCCUAGUAGUCC
rnacentral:rRNA from 1 species